AGAUGAUAGGUGUUGAAGUUGGGGGAGAGAGGGAGUAAAUGGCCAACAUCAUUAGCUAUGGCGAUAAUUAUAAAUUUCUUAGUUUUUGGAUAAAUGAAAUUCAAAUAAAAUUGUUGGUUGAAAAAUGAAAAAAGCCGUAAAGGUGUAAGGCUUGUGAUAUAUUGGUUAAAUGAUGGUCAUGUCCUUUUUUUUUAUUAUUAUUAUUAUACCUAAAC
rnacentral:lncRNA from 1 species